UAGGGAAUUUUUCACAAUGAGCGAAAGCUUGAUGGAGCAAUGCCGCGUGAACGAUGAAGGUCUUUAAGAUUGUAAAGUUCUUUUAUUUGGGAAGAAUGACUUUAGCAGGUAAUGGCUAGAGUUUGACUGUACCAUUUUGAAUAAGUGACGACUAACUAUGUGCCAGCAGUCGCGGUAAUACAUAGGCCGCAAGCGUUAUCCGGAUUUAUUGGGCGUAAAGCAAGCGCAGGCGGAUUGAAAAGUCUGGUGUUAAAGGCAGCUGCUUAACAGUUGUAUGCAUUGGAAACUAUUAAUCUAGAGUGUGGUAGGGAGUUUUGGAAUUUCAUGUGGAGCGGUGAAAUGCGUAGAUAUAUGAAGGAACACCAGUGGCGAAGGCGAAAACUUAGGCCAUUACUGACGCUUAGGCUUGAAAGUGUGGGGAGCAAAUAGGAUUAGAUACCCUAGUAGUCCACACCGUAAACGAUAGAUACUAGCUGUCGGGGCGAUCCCCUCGGUAGUGAAGUUAACACAUUAAGUAUCUCGCCUGGGUAGUACAUUCGCAAGAAUG
rnacentral:rRNA from 1 species